CACGUUUUGUUUACGCUCGAUAUCGAAUUGGUUCAUCUCCGCGUCGCGCGUAAUUAAGAGUGAUCGAAAUGCAAAUCGUACGAGUCGACCCGCACGCUUCGACGUGAUGUAACACGUGUAUGCUUAAUUAGAUCCUCGUUUACACACGAUACGGCAUUACACGGCGAUAGCAUUCGACGAUGUAUCGAUUGUCGCCGGUGCGUAUUGCAUUUCCUUCCCCGACGUGGAAUCGGAAAAGGCUGUCGAAGGACGCGCCGCGGUGGUGCGCGGGGAUGAAUACGUAAUCUCGCGUCGCGAGAUCGAUGUAACACGAUUAUGAGGCUUCCCAGAAAGAAUAUCGCGACGAUGAAACCGCGGAACCACACUGGGAUCUAUCCCCAUGCUUGUUUCGUCAAAUAACGUGAUCGUAAACCGGUACAAUCAUGUUAUUUCCGACGCGAGAUCGCGUCUCGCGCUUCCGCCCCCGGAGCGAGAUGCGAAAAUAAUCCCACUGACGUAAUUUCAACGUUUCUCGAUAAGAUGACAAAACAAUCGUCGAUAAACUAGCCGCCGACGCCGACAUCUCGAGUUUGGAUUUUUCAAGAACGGGGCUGUGGUUUUUAGCGGUCCUCGAUUCCAUUCAUCGAUUGGGUUUUCUCUUGCCCGUUCUCGAGUAUUUGGCACGCGGUUCCAUCUGAACGAUGCAGCGACCAGGGCGAUCGAUAAACCCGUAAACAACGAUGCUUUCCUCCUCUGCAGUGGUUCAUUCUUUGUUAAACGAAAACGGAUCGACAGAAUUCGUGGUUCACGUGGGAUUUUUCGAGGUCAGUGACUCCUGUGAACUAUGGUUCAACCGCGUCCGCGUCUUCGUCGUCAGCUUCGUGAUGACGCCUUUUUCUUCUUCCUCCUCCUCCUUCUUCUCCUUCUCCCUCCUGUACUUCACUUGGCAUACGCACAUCGAAAACCGAUCAUGCUCGCGAGGCGCCUAGCAUUUUUUUGUAGGCGCCUCGCUCGCGCCGAUAACAUGGUAGACGAUAACGUCCGGGCCAAUCCGAACCAAUAAAUGCUGGGACUUUGCACUCAUUCGACGCACACUGUUCGUUACUAUCGUUCCCUUACGGCCACGCGCGAUUCACGAAUUCUCCUCCACGGUCGUCGUUGCAUCAUCGUCGGGAAGUCGCGGCGAGUUUCCGGCGUGCCGUUUGAAAGGGGAGAAAAAGCGCGAAUUAGAGAUCGUGCGGUAUCGCCGUUGAACGGGUCACGAUUACAAAUUGGGGCACGACAAACAUACAGAUAUGUCACCGCGAUAGCGUAGAACGCGAAAGACGUUCUCCUCCGAAUCUGUUCGAUCUAUUUCGUUGCCAACGCGAGAUCUCGAUAUGGUCUCAUCCCAAAUAAAAUAAAUAUCGCUGUGUGAGAAUCGAUUGCGCAGUGGCUAGAUCCGUGGUGCAGUGUU